rnacentral:rRNA from 4 species
AGAGUUUGAUCAUGGCUCAGAACGUACGCUGGCGGCACGCCUAACACAUGCAAGUCGAACGAAGUAGCAAUACUUAGUGGCAGACGGGUGAGUAACAUGUAGGUAUCUGCCCUUUGGCCUGGAAUAACACGAGGAAACUUGUGCUAAUACCGGAUAAGUCUUUACGGAGAAAGCUUUAUGCACCAUUGGAUGAGCCUGCACUUGAUUAGUUUGUUGGUGGGGUAAUGGCCUACCAAGACUGUGAUCAAUAGCUGAUUUGAGAGGAUGAUCAGCCACAUUGGGACUGAGACACGGCCCAAACUCCUACGGGAGGCAGCAGUGGGGAAUCUUGCACAAUGGAGGAAACUCUGAUGCAGCGAUGCCGCGUGAGUGAAGAAGGCCCUUGGGUUGUAAAGCUCUUUCGUCGGGGAAGAAAAUGACUGUACCCGAAUAAGAAGGUCCGGCUAACUUCGUGCCAGCAGCCGCGGUAAUACGAAGGGACCUAGCGUAGUUCGGAAUUACUGGGCUUAAAGAGUUCGUAGGUGGUUGAAAAAGUUAGUGGUGAAAUCCCAGAGCUUAACUCUGGAACUGCCAUUAAAACUUUUCAGCUAGAGUAUGAUAGAGGAAAGCAGAAUUUCUAGUGUAGAGGUGAAAUUCGUAGAUAUUAGAAAGAAUACCAAUUGCGAAGGCAGCUUUCUGGAUCAUUACUGACACUGAGGAACGAAAGCAUGGGUAGCGAAGAGGAUUAGAUACCCUCGUAGUCCAUGCCGUAAACGAUGUGUGUUAGACGUUGGAAAUUUAUUUUCAGUGUCGCAGGGAAACCGAUAAACACACCGCCUGGGGAGUACGACCGCAAGGUUAAAACUCAAAUGAAUUGACGGGGACCCGCACAAGUAGUGGAGCAUGUGGUUUAAUUCGAAGAUACGCGCAGAACCUUACCAACACUUGACAUGUUCGUCGCGACUCUAAGAGAUUAGAGUUUUCGGUUCGGCCGGACGAAACACAGGUGCUGCAUGGCUGUCGUCAGCUCGUGUCGUGAGAUGUUGGGUUAAGUCCCGCAACGAGCGCAACCCUCACUUUUAGUUGCCAUCAUUAAGUUGGGCACUCUGAAAGAACUGCCAGUGAUAAGCUGGAGGAAGGUGGGGAUGACGUCAAGUCCUCAUGGCCCUUACGUGUUGGGCUACACACGUGCUACAAUGGUAUCUACAACAGGAAGCAAGACUGCGAAGUUAAGCAAAUCCCUAAAAGAUACCUCAGUUCGGAUUGCACUCUGCAACUCGAGUGCAUGAAGCUGGAAUUACUAGUAAUCGUGGAUCAGCGUGCCACGGUGAAUGCGUUCCCGGGUCUUGUACACACCGCCCGUCACACCAUGGGAGUUGGUUCUACCUUAAGGCAAGGUUUCAAACCCUUGACCACGGUAUAGUCAGCGACUGGGGUGAAGUCGUAACAAGGUAGCCGUAGGGGAACCUGCGGCUG